ACCCAGAGCACUGACAGAAAACACUCUGAAAACACAGGAUAUUCAGAGUGGAGAGCUCAGAGGGCACCAUAGGCCAAGCUAAAGCCCGAGAUAGCAGUUCAGGUAAGAGUUGGAGGCUUCUGAAACUGAAAAUGAAAAGCCUUAAUGUGAUGUCACAGAUAAAGGAAUGGCAAAAGCAGGUGCUGAGGGUGGGGUGGUUGGCAGCUGUAUUCCCAAUAAACCAAAGAACUCGGGGUGACAAGCAGGAAAAGGGUGUCUUCCUGGUCAUUUGGAUAAGUCAAGUUUCACUGAAGAAAGGAAGAGUAAUUGCUUGCUGUGCUAAUAAGUGAAUAAAAAUGAGGAAAGGCAUCAUACAAAUUGUUAAAGAAAGGUAAGAACACGCACAGGGAUUAAAUCACCUGAGAAGGCAUCAGCAAGACUGAUUGUUUUUAAUGGACACAUGAGGAGGCAUGUUUCUGUUUUCCAAGUAAGUAGCUGGAAGGAAAAGUUUAGUGCAGCAGUAGGAGUUGUUAUUACAGAUUGAUUUAUGGAUACAGGGGAGGAUGUACUUAAGGAUCUCUGUUUGCUUCAUGUUGGCAGUUUUAUAUGAUGCAGUCCAUUAAUUUUUGAAGGCUCCAGUCCUGUUGGCUUGAAAGUAUCUUGUUUUUUUCAUGUUGAUUGGUAAAGCUUUUCAUGCCUGGGCUUGGUCUUGACUCCUUUAGGGGCUCAUUAUCUGUCUUUGGGGCAUCACCUCUUGGGGACAUCUUUUGGAAUACAGGAGAAGCCUUGGUGGCUUCUCCUUUACUGAUAAAGGACCAAAAGACAUUUAAUCUUUAUUUGAGAGCUCAAAUUCCAGAGAAGCUACCACAGGCCUUAUUUGCAAUGGUUAAUUAUUUUCACUUUUUAAAAAGGUGAACUUUACUUCCAGCCUUAGAUCUGGAGCUUCCAGCUGUUGAACUG